ACUGAACUUCAGCUAUGCAUCUCUCCCCUGAAGAAUUUAAAUGUGGAUCUUUGGGUUGCGAAAGCUGAGCAUGAGAAGUUGCUGUGAAAUCAACAAUUCAGAAAUGCCAGUAAGUGGAUUUGGGAUGUCAACAGUGUGUUAUAACAGCAACACACUCUUGAUAAUAAACCACAGUUUCUUUUCAUAGAGAAACUGCACUUUGAAGUCAGAGGAGUAGAGGGAAUUGAAUGACCUAGGAUCACAGGAUAAUCCAGUCUGGCAUGGACCUCAAGAGAUCUUUAAACCAACCAGCUGCUAAGUGUAGGUUCAGCCAUGAGAUCUGAUUAUAUUGCUCAGGGCUUUGUCUAAAGCCCUUUGUCUCCCUGAAAAUUCUAAGGAUGAACACUCCA
rnacentral:lncRNA from 1 species